GGAAGGAAGGACAAAAGCUUGAACCUACUAUUAGAGUCUCACUAUUAUCCAAAAUCCCAAACAUUGUAUGACAUCCCAAAUGACUAUGUUUUUUUAUUUGCUAAAUAAAAUAUAAAGCAAAAUAAUAAAAAGUUAAUUAUAUUUAAAGUCAGAUAUAUUUUAUGAAAAAGCCAAUAUGAAUUAUAUUAUAUUAAUAUACAUUUAUAUAUUAUAUAAUAACGUGGCAAGUUGCUACAUUGUUUUUUUUUAAAGCUACAGUUAGGCUAACUAUGCACAACAUUUGGUAUCUUUUAUAAUAAAAAAGCAGUAAGCCAAAAGAGGCCAUGCAUUACAGUCUCGUGUCUUAUUGCAUCAUUAUAUAUAAAUAACCUGAAACCAAGUUCUAUCAUAAUAAGGACAUAUAUCCUGUAUUAUGAUAUUUAAGGAACCACAUUUUUGAGUAAUGAAUGUCUUUUUCCUGCCCUGGAAAACAGCAUUUUAAAGUUUCCUGAAUUUUACAUGUUUUUCCAAGUCUGUGGGAACCCUGAUACUUAUUAUGAAGUAGUACCAAGAGGAAAAAGGGCUAAACAAUUUAAAUAUUAAAAAUGUAUAUCUUAAUUUUACUUUAUUAUUAUUAUCAUUGAUGACGAUGAUUACAAUAAUAAUAAUAAUAAUAAUAAUAAUGAACUCGCCCACAAACAUAAACAUAAUUAAACAACUUACAUUCGUUUUCUAACAUUACUUUAUUGUUAAAUUGCUUUAUUAUUGUUGCAGGUAUUGCUAGUAUUAAGAAUUAGAAGGACACUCGCCCGCUCACAGAAAAGAAACAGAGGCCUGAAAUAGAGUUGAUUAAAAUGUACGCAAACUCUUCGUGUGUUAUUUGCAUAACAAUGAGCCGCGCUGAUCUCUGACACGCCCACUCAAGCGUUUCUGGAAACGAGCAGGAUCACAACACGCCAACAAUGACGCAACAUCACCUCACAGCAAGAUCUCAUGUGUCCAAACUCCAAACAGUCCUUAUGAGCUUUUCUCUUGCCUCUCAAUGGCCGUGGCGCUCUACAAGUCUCAACUUCACCUGGUAAGUGUGUAACAACAGUUUUGCUCUCCACAGAUGUCUGAUUCAAUGUUUAUGCUGUCAAGAUUUUAUCAUUAAUCAUAUUGCCCCAUCACACACACUACUUUUAUUUCUCAUUCAUCACAAUUUAUUACAGGUGACAAAUGCAGGAUUGCGCUGACUUGUUGUUUCCCAGUCACUGAUCCAAGUAACCCAUCUACAAUGUUUUGUUACACUUUAUUUUAAGGUGUCCUUGUUACAGUGUAAUUACGAAAAGAAGUAUUGAGUAAUAUUAAUUAACAACAUGCACUUAGUGUAGACCUAGGGUUUGGUUUAGGGCUAGUUAUUUGUAACUAUGCAAUUGUAAUUUACUGUCAUUACUAUAGUAAGUAUGUAACGUAACAAAUAUAUACAGUGGGUAUAGAAAAGAAUCACCCCCUUUAAAAUAAUUAAAAUGUGUUGCUUUGCAGUCGGACACAGUUUUUGUUUUAUUCAGCUGCAUUUACUUUUACUUUGCAACUUAUAACAUCCAAAUAAAAGAUAUAACACCAACAUGUCAGAAAAAAACAAAGAAAAAAAAGAUAACCCCCUUGGGUCAGUAUUUUGUUUAACCACAUUUUGCUUUAAUCACAGCCUUCAGUCUGUUGGGAUUUGUCUCUGUCUCUAGUAACUUUGCACAUCUAGACUUUGCAAUAUUUGCCCACUCUUCUUUGCAAAACUUCUCAAGU
rnacentral:lncRNA from 1 species